CCCACCCCGCGCCCGAGCCCGAGGCCGCCUGCGCCCGGACCGGGAGCGCGGCCGGCCGAUCCGACCCGCCGCCUAAUGGGCUCGAGGCGAGGGGCGCCCCGGCUUCAGGGCCCCGAGAAAGGACCCCCCGCCGCUCGCCCGCCCCAAGUGCAAAGCAUUGACACGGCCCCGAGAGGAGAGGGGGCGCCCUCCGCCCGCGUCCGGCGGCCCGGACGCUCCGGCCCGCUCCGCGGCGUGGCCUCCGACCCCGCUGCCGGCGCCGCCCGCCCGGCCGGCUCCGGGGGAGCCGCGGGCGCCGGGGAGAGCGGCCGGGGGCGGGCGCGGCCCGGAGAGGACGCCCGUGGCGGAGCCGGGGACCCCUGCCUCGGACGGAGGGAGCCUCGGGAGCUCGGGACUGAAGCGGCAAGAUAUGUGCGACCGCCCCCCUGGUCCCGGCUGGCUGAGACCUUCAUCUCCAGCCUCACCCGCCGCCGCCGGCCACUGCCACACACACGCGCAGCACAGCUGGCUCUGGUUAGGGACUGGGUCUCGGCCUUUGCUCCUGGGCUGGCCAUUACAGCCGUCCAGGAACUAACCACCGGUCCCCACUCGCUGCAGGCUACCCCCGGAGCACUGAGGCCGCUCAGUAGCAGCAGCCGCAGGAGGGAGCGGGGAGGCUGGGUGCCCUCCUUCAGGGCGGGCGCCUGGGCCUAGGCUGGAGGGGCCUUCGGAUGGCACCAGCCACAUCUGCAAGGGAGUGGCUGGCACCAGACCCCCUCAGCAGACGGAGGUGUGAGAGGAGGGGAGUGUGGGUGCAGGCAGUGGGUCUGACGAUGGUGGGCCCGGGAUGAGGAAGCGUUAGCUGGGCCUGGACAGAGAACCCGGCUCCUGGGUGGGGCUCGCUCUCUCCCUGGCGGCGCUUCUCACCCUGAUCGGGAGGAUAGGUCAUUGCGCCAAGGGAGGGAGGACGGGAAAGCAGAGGACAGACCUCGGGCUUCUCUAGGGAAGCUUUGGACUCCAGGAAAGUGUACUCCGCCCCCUUCUUUCCCACAAGCAAGCAGGGGAGCUUGUGAGAGACUUGUGAGGCCCCCCCUUUGCCUCCACAGGCCCUGGCCCUCAUGCACAGCCAUCCCGGCACUAGGGGGCGCUGACAGCAGGGCCAGGAGGGCAGGAGAGCGCACCAGCUGUCAGCGGCAAGAAAAGCAGGGGCUUCCUUGGGGUCUGGACACCAGGCCCAAGGAAGAAAGCCCCGGAGGAAGGAGCAGGAAAGGCCACAUGGACGGGGGGAGGCGGGCCCCUCUCCAGAGCUGGGGGACAGGCCCCCGUUCUUGAUGCAACGUGCUGACGCCUCUGCGCUGCCGAGGAAGCCGAGGAGCCCCCAGGCCGGGCCCAAGCGCGGCACCCCCACAGCCCCUGGCACAGGCCCACAGCAACCCCACCCCCAGGUCCCAGCAGACGCGCUCGUCCCAUCGUGUGCCAGCGCAGGGCAGUGCUCCUGAAGGGCCCCCCCCCCCCCCAUAGCUGCCUGGCUCAGGUGGUAUCGGGCACAAUGGGAGUGGGCAGGCUUCUCCCUCGCCCCGCGUCCCAGGGUGACCAUCCUCUCCCCUCCUCUCCGUCCCCACUGCCACUGCCUGGUGAGGCCUGCACUUCCCACCUGGCUACCUUCCUCACUGACCUCCUGACCUCUAGACCCCCCAUCCCACCCCCCGCUCUCCAACCCGCCAGCACACCAAAGCCGGUGGUCUGUGUACAGCACACACCUCGCCUUGCUCUCCCUCUGCCCAGAAGCCUUCGCCUCCUCGCGGUGCCCAGGAUAAGGCCUAAACUCCCUUCCAGGGCCUGCCGAGGCCUCACCUCACUCAGGGUACGAAAUUGAGCAAAUUACAGGAAUGAACUUGAGAAGUUCUGAGAGCUCUCCAGGCUCCCUCGACCCCCAGGCUGAGCCCAGCGUCCCCUGCCCCGGGAGCCGGCCCCGCUGCCCGGCAUAGCCGGCCAGGUGUGCCCGUCCGGCGGCCAGCCCCGGGCCUGAGCUGCGCCUCGUCUCCGGAUCCCUAGUGCCAGCCCCGGGCCUAGAACACAGCUGGCGAGCAGGGAGCGCUUCUGGGAGAUGGACAACGAUCAAGAAGUACACGGGUCUCUGCAAGCAGCAGGUGUCUCUGCCAGCCAGCCCCCCGCCAGCCUGCCCUCCACUGGACCUCGCGAGAGAUUCUUUUUAAUCAAGAAAUGGCCCGCGGAGGAAGACGGCAGAUACGUUUAUGGCUCUCCGCUUCCCUCCUUGCCUCGCUGUAAAUACCCCGCUCCGAGCUGGAAAAUAAAUUUCCGACCCC